rnacentral:tRNA from 1 species
GGGCCCAUAGCUCAAUGGUUAGAGCCGACCGCUCAUAACGGUCUGGUUGGGGGUUCGAGUCCCUCUGGGCCUACCA